CAGCCGUAAACGAUGUGCGUUAGGUGUAUCGACGACCACGAGUUGUCGAGGUGCCGAAGGGAAACCGUGAAACGUACCGCCUGGGAAGUACGGUCGCAAGGCUGAAACUUAAAGGAAUUGGCGGGGGAGCACCACAACAGGUGGAGCCUGCGGUUUAAUUGGACUCAACGCCGGACAUCUCACCGGAUAAGACAGCUGAAUGAUUGCCGGGCUGAAGACUCUGCAUGACUAGCUGAGAGGUGGUGCAUGGCGUCAGUGACU
rnacentral:rRNA from 1 species